GAGUUGCUGUCCUGUUGAUUCGAAAAGCAGGCCAGGGGUUGGGGGCGCUCUUCCCUGAGGAUGCUGUCUUUCGCUCCCCCGCCCCUCGCAGCUGUGCAGAGCGUCAGGCUGUCCAGGAGGUUAGCACCCGUCGGCAUGGAACCACGCCAAUGGCCACUUUAGAAAUGCACAUGCUGGCCAGGAAUCAUCCCACGCCCCCCGAUGGAUGCUCCCCCACCUGCUGCCUUUGUGUUAAUGGCUCCCUCCUCUCAAGGAGGACUGCUUCCCAUCAGGUGCCAGCGCCUUCAAGGAGCUGAACUGCAUUCUGCCGCCUAGAAGAGGGGGCUAACUAAGUGCGAAGGAGCUGAGUGCCUGAAGAUCACCCAGUGGGGCUAACAGCACUGAGAGAGCUGUUAUAAGCCAGCAGGUUUGUUCUGAAAGUUUCUUACAUUGAUAGAAAGCAAACUAUGACAUCAUCCUUGGCCCUGGACAAACAUGGUCAAACAGGAAGGGGAUAUAGGAUUCUUGAAGACACUGGGGUGUCUUAUAAUAGUAGCAAACAUCCCACCCACUUAUGGCCACACUGGA